rnacentral:sRNA from 1 species
AUUGCUUUUAAAAUCCACAUUGUAUUGAGGAUCCCGAUAAAUCUCCUUUUUAGGUUUUGUUUAUCGGGUUUUUUAUU